rnacentral:rRNA from 1 species
AUACGGAGGGUGCAAGCGUUACUGGGAAUCACUGGGCGUAAAGCGCGCGCAGGCGGUCUUUUAAGUUGGAUGUGAAAGCCUACAGCUCAACUGUAGAACUGCAUCCAAAACUAUUAGACUAGAGUCUGGGAGGGGAAGAUGGAAUUAGUUGUGUAGGGGUAAAAUCCGUAGAGAUAACUAGGAAUACCAAAAGCGAAGGCGAUCUUCUGGAACAGUACUGACGCUGAGGCGCGAAAGCGUGGGGAGCAAACAGAAUUAGAAACCCGUGUAGUCC